GGAAGUAAAAGUCGUAACAAGGUUUCCGUAGGUGACCCUGCGGAAGGAUCAGUA
rnacentral:rRNA from 1 species